ACGAACGCUGGCGGCGUGCCUAACACAUGCAAGUCGAACGGAGAUAAAGAUUUCGGUUUUUAUCUUAGUGGCGCACGGGUGAGUAACACGUGAAUAACCUGACCCAAAGAGGGGGAUAACACCUGGAAACAGGUGCUAAUACCGCAUAAGACCACAAUGUCGCAUGACGAAGGGGUCAAAGAAAAUCGCUUUGGGAGGGGUUCGCGUCCCAUUAGGUAGUAGGCGGGGUAACGGCCCACCUAGCCGACGAUGGGUAGCCGAGCUGAGAGGCUGAUCGGCCACACUGGAACUGAGACACGGUCCAGACUCCUACGGGAGGCAGCAGUGGGGAAUAUUGGGCAAUGGGCGCAAGCCUGACCCAGCAACGCCGCGUGAGGGAAGAAGGUUUUCGGAUUGUAAACCUCUGUCGCAGAAGACGAAGGAAGUGACGGUAUUCUGUGAGGAAGCCCCGGCUAACUACGUGCCAGCAGCCGCGGUAAUACGUAGGGGGCGAGCGUUGUCCGGAAUUACUGGGCGUAAAGGGAGCGUAGGCGGUCUGAUAAGUUGGAUGUGAAAUACCCGGGCUUAACUUGGGGGGUGCAUCCAAUACUGUUGGACUAGAGUACAGGAGAGGAAAGCGGAAUUCCUAGUGUAGCGGUGAAAUGCAUAGAUAUUAGGAGGAACAUCGGUGGCGAAGGCGGCUUUCUGGACUGCAACUGACGCUGAGGCUCGAAAGCGUGGGGAGCAAACAGGAUUAGAUACCCUGGUAGUCCACGCUGUAAACGAUGAAUACUAGGUGUAGGGGGUAUAAACUCCCUCUGUGCCGCAGCAAACGCAAUAAGUAUUCCGCCUGGGGAGUACGGCCGCAAGGUUGAAACUCAAAGGAAUUGACGGGGGCCCGCACAAGCAGCGGAGCAUGUGGUUUAAUUCGACGCAACGCGAAGAACCUUACCAAGGCUUGACAUCCACUUAAAGUUAUGGAAACAUAAUGUCCCUUCGGGGGUAGUGAGACAGGUGGUGCAUGGUUGUCGUCAGCUCGUGUCGUGAGAUGUUGGGUUAAGUCCCGCAACGAGCGCAACCCUUAAGCUUAGUUGCCAUCAUUAAGUUGGGCACUCUAAGUUGACUGCCGGUGACAAACCGGAGGAAGGUGGGGAUGACGUCAAAUCAUCAUGCCCCUUAUGUCUUGGGCUACACACGUACUACAAUGGCUAUAACAAAGAGAAGCGAGACAGUGAUGUGGAGCAAAACUCAAAAAAAUAGUCUCAGUUCGGAUUGAAGGCUGAAAUUCGCCUUCAUGAAGCUGGAAUUGCUAGUAAUGGCAGGUCAGCAUACUGCCGUGAAUACGUUCCCGGGCCUUGUACACACCGCCCGUCACACCAUGGGAGUGGGUUGCAAAAGAAGUAGGUAGCUUAACCUUCGGGAGGGCGCUUACCACUUUGUGAUUCAUGACUGGGGUG
rnacentral:rRNA from 1 species